rnacentral:rRNA from 1 species
GACGAACCGUGCGAACGUUAUUCGGAAUCACUGGGCUUAAAGCGCGUGUAGGCGGGCCGGCGCGUCGGUGCCUGAAAGCCCCCGGCUCAACCGGGGAACUGGGGCCGAUACGGCCGGCCUGGAGGGGCGUAGGGGGACCUGGAACUUCCGGUGGAGCGGUGAAAUGCGUUGAGAUCGGAAGGAACGCCCGUGGCGAAAGCGAGGUCCUGGACGCCUGCUGACGCUGAGACGCGAAAGCCAGGGUAGCGAACGGG